ensembl:lncRNA
AAAGAAAACAGACUGCUUUCUUGGAAUUUACAGUCUCCUGGGAAAACCGACAUUAAACAAAAAAUAACCACAUAAAUAUAUCAUUACACCUGAUGAUUAAGAAAAGAAGAUGAUAUGAAACAGAAUGACAUGGCAGAGGCAGGAAAGACCUCUCUGAGGAAGUCAUACAUAAGGCAAAGUUCAAAAGAUGGGAUAAGCAGGAGGCAGAAGGAAAAGCAGAGGCAGAGGCAAUGAGGCAGGAAAGAACUUGGUGUUCAAGAACUGAGAGAGGACCAGUGUGGCUGGAACACAGCAAGUGACCAGGGGGAAUUGCACAAAAUGAGCUUGGAAAGAUAGGCGGGCCCCAGAGGAAGAAGGCCUGGCCACAUGAUCUCUAAUCUUUCUAUUUACUCGAGUCCCUUCUUUCUUUGCAAACUCUACUCAAGGUUUACCUCCUCUGAGAAGCCUUCUUGAAUAAUACCACAUUGUUCUAAGUAAUAGUCUUAUUUUAAUUACAUCAUUCCAACAACUUCAUCACAUAAUUUGUAGUUUAUAAGCCACUCAUUCUGUUUCCUGCGAAUAUAUCGGUUUACCCAACAGACGUGGGACAGGGUUUUCUGUUUCCUCUUUUGCCUGAUCUCCUCCAAGCACCCAGUGUAUCAGGAAUGUUCUGUCGAGAAUAAGAGUCUCCCUUGGCGCUGGACUUUAUUCCCAGAAAGCUCUUGGAGUCCAGGCAGAUAAUCCCUGGGGUUCUAUCUUCCCUGUCUGGAGAACUGACCUACUUCCAGGUCUUCAAAACUUGUCGUGGAACAACCAAAUUUCCCAGGGUCCAUGCAUAUUUUUCCAAACACCUGCCCAUCUCCGGAGUUAUUCUUCCCCUCCCCCCUCCAAUCACCGGAUUAGAGGCAUCACCGCUGUUGCUAAGGGAAUAAGGCUUGGGCAGGUGGGAGUGAGCUGAAGGCUGAUACAGCAGGGAGUCAGGUUGGUCAGCAGGAAAAAACCUCUCAGCUGUGAGGAGGGGAAAGCCAGCAAUGCAUUUCCAAGUGCUUCUUGCCAGCCUUUUCCCCCCCCAAGUGUUACAUGCUUGUUCUCUAAAAGCCUUCAGGAUUUUUUAAAAAAACCUCUGGUGUCUUAAAUUUUACAACGUUAUGGCUUCUUGCGGUCGGCCGGUUUUCAUAAACGAAGGAAGCUGUUGUCCAUCUUGACUGGUCCUCUUGAAGUCCUUGUGAGAAUGGGCCAUGGAGGAGAGGUCCCUGAGUGCUGUUAACAAUGCAGAGAUAUUUUAAGGAAGAUUAGCCCUGAGCUAACAUCUGCUGCCAGUCCUCCUCUUUUUGCUGAAGAAGACUGGCCCUGAGCUAACAUCCGUGCCCAUCUUCCUCUACUUUAUAUGUGGGACGCCUACCACAGCAUGGCUUGCUAAGCAGUGCCAGGUCUGCCACCCAGGAUCUGAACCAGCGAACCCCAGGCCACCGAAGCGGAACGUGCGCACUUAACCGCUGCGUCACCGGACCAGCCCCCUAAAUAUUUCUGAAAUCUCUCCUGCUUCUUUCUACCCCACUGCCACUUCCCUAGGCCAGUCUGCCAUCACCAUUCACCUAAAUUAUUACAUUGGUAUUCUAACUGGUCUCACAGACACACCUCCACUCUUGCCACUUUCUAAUCUGUUCUACAGUCUGUAGCCAGAAGGAUUUUUCUAAAAUUAAAACAUGAUCAUGUCACUCUUCUACUUAAAACUCUUCAGCGGCUAACUGGUGCCCACAGGAUAGAAUCCAAUGUCUUAAGGUAGGAUCCUACCUAGGCUCCAAGGCGCCCUGCAUGGUUUGGCUCCUGUUUUCCUCUUCAGCCUCAUUUCUUACCAGUCCUCACCUCCCAUUCCAUGCUCUGGCCAUACGGAACUGUCUUCCUGUCCUCCCUCCCCCUAAGCUCUCUCACCUCUAGGCCUUCGCAUAAGCUGUUCCCUCUGCGAGGAGCCCUCUUCACUUACUUAACUUCCACUCACCCUUCAGAUUUCCUCUCAG